rnacentral:rRNA from 1 species
CAGAGGGUGCGAGCGUUAAUCGGAAUUACUGGGCGUAAAGCGUGCGUAGACGGUUAUUUAAGUCGGAUGUGAAAGCCCCCGGGCUCAACCUGGGAAUUGCAUUCGAGACUGAAUAGCUAGGGUACGGUAGAGGGAAGUGGAAUUUCCGGUGUAGCGGUGAAAUGCGUAGAUAUCGGAAGGAACAUCAGUGGCGAAAGCGACUUCCUGGACCAGUACCGACGUUCAGGCACGAAAGCGUGGGGAGCAAACAGGAUUAGAUACCCUGGUAGUCCACGCCAUAAACGAUGAGGACUAGACGUUGGAGGGGUAAGCCUUUCAGUGUCGUAGCUAACGCGCUAAGUCCUCCGCCUGGGGAGUACGGCCGCAAGGUUG